UACGAAGGGGCUAGCGUUGCUCGGAAUCAUUGGGCGUAAAGAGCGCGUAGGCGGUCCGGUAAGUCCGCUCUGAAAGUCCGGGGCUCAACCCCGGGAGGCGGGCGGAUACUGUCGGGCUAGAGUCCGGAAGAGGCGAGUGGAAAUUCCUGGUGUAGCGGUGAAAUGCGCAGAUAUCAGGAGGAACACCAUGGCGAAGGCAGCUCGCUGGGACGGUACUGACGCCUGAGGCGCGAAAGCGUGGGGAGCAAACAGGAUAGAUA
rnacentral:rRNA from 1 species